CCAGAACCGCGAACCGCUUACGUCAGGGGGCAGGGGUUGGGGUUACCAUGACAACAACAUGACAAAAAAAAAAAACAUAAACCAAACGUGUUUCCGCCAUUGUCCUGCAGCGAAAAAAGGGAGUAUUACCAGUCCAGAAAAGAGAGUAAUGGAUAACAAGUCAAAGCAGUAGUCGGCCGAGGAGACAAGCUGCCUCCUGGCGUUCUGGUCCUCGCAGGAGAUCCAGAAGAAGCUGGAGGGAUCAACGAGGACCAAAGCCAUAAUGGAACAGAUCCAGCGAGAGCAACCUUUCGACCACAUUAGCAACAAGCUAAAAAAGUUUAAAAAAAGACUACCGGGACCAAGAAAAGGACCCGGCACCGGUGCAGCAGCGGACGCCCUCGGAGCAACCCCAACUUCGAGGUGCUUGAUGCAUUGCUAGGCGACAGACCGUCAUGCCGACUCACCGGGGCCUAUAACUCCAUAGCGAUCCUGGAGUCGAUGGUCGAUGAGUCGCUCAACAUCCAGAGCUCUACUGAUAAUGAGCUGUCUGGAACCGAGGAUGCAGAGGUGGACGGGACGGUGCUGUCACCUUUGACCUGCAAUUCCUCCUCACCACCAAGCAGCCCUGCUAUAGACUUACCAACGCCUCAGCCCAGACAAGGUAAAAGGAAGCGGGACAGCACCACUGAGCUGCUGCGUCUAUUGGAGAG